UCUGCCUUCCUUUCAUACAUAAAUAUUUCUGUCGUUGUUUAACCUCCGUCACAGUUGGUCGACACAUUUUUGUGUCUCCAGAAUUUUAAUAAGUAAAUACAUUUCCUCGUUGAAAUAAUAUUUAAUUCGUGCUUUGAUCCAAUACUUAGUAAUGGAGGAUGAGUGCUUGAUAAUUAAAGAUAAGCAAGAUGUGGCCUCUUAAAAUCGGUGAGGUAAAUAAGUUCGACAUCAACUGACGCCAAAUUCCACCGUCAAAAAUAAGACUCAAUAUCCUGCAUAUCUUCACCUUCGGCCAUUUAUCUGAUUUAUAUUACACAUGUCUGUUGUCUUAUAACGCCUUCUCCGUCGCCGUGGAAUAGAUAUAGAUGACAUCGAGCCGAAUGGAAUUCCAGCACCCGACUCGCGUCUUUCAUCUCACCUCAGUAAUCUAUUAUCUCAACAGCCAGGGCGAGACGAGAAGCAAUAAUUCUUCCCUCUCAAAACGCCUUGAAAUGAGUUACAGCAAACUCAUCUCAUAGAUAUGCAAACAUAGAGACAAGUAUUAAUUGUAAGACCUUUUGCAUGUAUGCUUCAUUCUGAAAAGGUAUCAACUAAGAAUUUGAAAAAAAUGUUUGGUCUUUCUAUUUGGCCAAUUUUCGACAGGGAAUAUGAUAAUAUGAUAAUCAAUUAAACGCACGAUAACCUAUCUUCGUCCCUCACCUCGCAAAGGUGUAAGACUCUUUCAACACGUGAUAAGUCAGAUCGUCAAGCAUGAUUUGUGCUCUUAGGUCUAUUUUGUUUCGUAGACCCGCAAUUGAUGACUUAGCCUCUUAAAUGGGAUAGUAGCAAGCGACGAUAGGUUUUUAAUACCUGUUUAAAAAAUUUUUCCUGCCGCAUAUCCUGUGUUCUGCAAAUACUCGAACUGUAUUCCAGUCUCUUUAAUAGAUCUGAAAGAACAUAAUGAUUUUAAAGACAUCUUUCUUCACUGGUACAAUUGACGAUUUCAAACUGCAUUAGAAACGUUCAACACUAAGAAUUAUAUUUGUGCCCUAGAAGCUUGAAACGUUUUGCUAGUAUAUGUUUUGCUCCAAAAGUUAUGAAGCUUUAGUUCGGUUUUGGCUAAUUUCCGAAACUCUGUUCGUGUGGUAGUCUUUUUCGUGAUUUUCUUACACACUCUAGAUGAUCUUUACAAACAAUAGAUAAUUAAGUAAUGUAAAUCUUAAACCAUUUAAGAAGGAUAUUUUUUAUUUGUGGAAAACAGUUUUGUUGAAAUAUUGUAGCGAGUUUUGACAAAAUGUUGAAGGAGAUAACCCAAUGAAAUUAUCAUCUCGAGUCAGCGAAAGUCUUGAAUUGUCAACUUGCAAGGAACUGCCCAGUUUGUUUUAAAGCUAUAAAGUGCCUUUAUUACGGAAGACUUAAUAUCCUAUUUAUUGAAAAUGUGUAUAGUUCCGUUAUGUGAAGUUAAGUAGGCAAGAGCUCCACAUAUAUACAAAAUAUUCUUGGCAACCUGAGUAAAGUAUUUUGACCAGAUACGGUGCUGAAAUGAUUCGUUUUCAGGUGUCGUGAUUCAUAUUGUAUAAAAUAUUAUGGUACUGAAUUAGCUUAAAUGUCACAUACUCUAUUCCAUUCCAAUGAACAUCGUAGAUAUUAUAAUAAUCUAUUGACCACAAUUCGACAUGUACGAUCUAUCUUAGACACCACCUUUUUGAUAAAUCUUCUUCCAUAACUCCGAAUUCUAACUCCUUGUAAUUAAAAGGAACUUCUUCCAGAAUCGAUGAGUUUACAUCUGGUAUUUUUGAGCCUCUUAGAUGAGAACGAGUGCCGCCAGUUUGUUGUCUUCUCCAUCUAAUCGACUUCGUGUCGUCUGUUCACCUUCUAAAUCUACAGCUUGAAUCUCAAGAAAUACAUUAUUUAAUAUUUCUUCCAAUGCUCGAAGUAUAAAUCUCUUUGGUGGAGGCCAAGGUCUGCCUGGAUGCAACUUCUGCCAUACAUUGUAUCGUAUGGCAAAUUGUAACAAAUUUAUUCUUGUGUUUGCGAUGAUUUUGUGUUCCUCACAAUGAAGAUAUUUCUGUCCUUAUCCUUUUUGUGUGUGACAGAGUGUUUCACCAACCUCAUAUGUGAACAGUGUAUAAUAUAAUACGGUAACCUCCAUGGAGGAAUGCGAGUGCGGUGCAGGCUAUUGCAUAUGCAGAGCAAGUAUGCAUGGCCCUAUAUACGUAACACAAUUAGGAUACACGUAUCAUGUACCUAAAUCCAAUGUGUAGCAACGAAGUUGAAUGCGUCCACAUUCGUCUGCACUAUUCAAAGUCAUUUUACCUAUAACAUUAAACGCUCUAUUUUCAUUUCAUUACUUCUUAUUAGUUACAAUUUUAUAAAUAUGAACUGCUGAUCUCGAUCUUUAAUUAAUAUUUUUCCAAUUUUUCACGUCUGGUGAAAAAGUUCCUGUCGCAAGUGAAGUAAAUUUGCCUAAGGAAUAUCUACUACGUAUAUAAAAUUUUACGUAAAAUAUUUGAGAUUACAUAUUCUUUGAUUUUGCUGAAGUAUACACUGGAAAAUUUUGAAUUUUCAUGUUCAUUACUGGGAUAAGGUUGGCUAAAGCUUACGCGUGGAAACCUUAGUGGAGCUACGUCUCUUAAUAAUUUUUAUACUCUUUAGUAUCACCUUCGAAUUAGAAAUUAAAAGUUGACUUUCAUUAACACCUUUUCUACAAUUUUACACAUAUAGCAUUGAUACACGCCUUAUCCUUGUAGUCUCUCCCUAGCUUGGAGCAAUAAUCCCAGUGCUUGUAAGCCUCGCCCCACAGUGGGCCAGAUUUAAUAAAUUUUGGCCAAAAAUUUGAAAAUCGAUCAUCAAUUUGAAAAGUAAUCCGAAUUUCAAUUGCUAAUGUUGUUAAUCAUUACAAGAUCGGCCAUUAAGCCUUUCAGCAAAAAAUGUUUAAUUUAAAUUCCUCUACUAUAGAGGGUGUGGUUUUUAAAGCCAAGAUACUUUCCUGCUACCACCUCAGUUUUCUGAGAAAUCACAAUGAUGGAGUAUACUUAAAGCAUAUUUGAGUAAAAAUAAUUCAACUUAAAUUUGACUUUUUUAACUUUAAUGACUAAAAGUGGGUGUGGUUGGAACAAAGCUUGAUGGUCGCAGCUGGUCACAGCAGUGUAGCAUCCCACUACUAUUACCUAAUUAAUGGCGCCAGUAGUUAGUCAUACGUGCACGGGAAUGGGUGGGAAUGUAAGAAGAUGUAAAAUCCCUAUCUCCGUAAUGUAUUUGGCAUACUUUAACCGCUUCGUUUAUCCGAUUGGCUUGAACCUGUGCCUUAAUAUUUUACACCAAGUUCAAGUUGGUUACAAAAGGUAAGAUGGCACACGAGUUAAGCCAAACAGCGGCACUGCCUUAACGGCCACUUUUUUAAAUUCCUGGCCCACGGACGCGUCCGUGUGACACGUCUACAUACAAGAAAUCAAAGUUGCUCUAGUUCAAGUAAUUAUUCAACUUGGAUAUUCACGCAUUUGCGUAUCAGAUAUUAUUAUUAUUUGAAAUGACCUUACCACAACUAAUUUGUAUCACUAUACAUGUAACAACUUUCUGAACAGAGGUCCUCAUAAGCUAUGAAAUCAGACUGCCAUUUAGUACUUUGCAAAUUUAAUAUUAAAUAUGACAUACACACAAUUUCACAUUUUUCGAUUUUGCUGAAACAUGCAUUGGAAAAUUUGGAGUCUUCAUGUUUAUUAUUGGGACUUUGUGUAGGUUGGCGAGACACUACGGGUAGAAACCUACGUAGUGCCACCUCUCUUAAUAAUACUUAUGUAUACUGGUUAAUAUCGCCUUUGAAUAAGAAAUUAAUAGCUGACUUUCAUUAGCAACUUUUCUAGAAUUUUACACAUUUUGCAUGUAAUUGAUUAUGAAUGUAAAGGAUUGGAAAUAUUGCAAAUUUUGAAUCCGUUUAUGAAUAAUUUUGGAUACUUUUUCAUAUAUGUAUAUAUGCAAACUUAUGUACCCACUUAUUUACAUAUUUGUAUCACCUCCAUUUCCACAAAUACAUUGAUAUAUACAUAUGUGCAUAUGCCAGACAAUGGUAGUCGCAGCAAGUAUGUACUAGGUUUGUUUUCAUGUUAAGUGUCAUAGUGAAGAUAUCAUGUACAAAUUUAUUUAAAAAAAGCAUCUACGAGUCAAAAUUAUUAAUUAAUACUUGAAGCUUACAUAUGUACAUUCGUGUCGUUUACUAAAUAGUCUGUAAAAAUAUGUAUGUAUAUAAAAGUCAUAGAAUUAUUGUAUGCCAAGAAAAUUGCUAAUUGUCGAAAUUUAUUCGGUUAUUUGCACAUUUUCUUUGAUUAUUUUUAUCCCGACAGUUUAAACAAUAAAAUUUUAUUUCUUCAUU